rnacentral:SRP_RNA from 1 species
GCCAGGUGUGAUGGUGUGCACCUGUAAUCCCAGCUACUCAGGAGGCUAAAGCAGGAGGAUUGCUUAAGUCCAGGAGUUCUGGGCAUUGGUGCACUAUGCUGAUCAAGGGUUCGCAUCAGUGUGGUUACCUCCCAAGAGCAGGGGCCACCACAUUGCCCAAGGAGGGGUGAACUGGCCCAGGUUGGAAAUGAAGCAGAUCAAAACUCCCGUGCUGCUCAGUAACGGGAUUGCCCUGUGGAUAGCCACAGCACUCCAGCUUGGGCGAGAAGGCAAGACCCCUUCUCUU